UUUCUGGUUUUCUUCUUGUUUAUUCUUUGAGUGAUGGAGAGAUGAAGAAAAGAUGAAGAGAGGAAGAAGAUGAACACACGAUGUUUUAAGUGGUUCAGCAAGGCCUACGUCCACUGUGCUUUGAGAGAGCAAGAUUAUGAACAAAAGAAGAAAUUAAUGAAUUGUAGAGGAACUCGAGUGAAGGUGAGGCGUGAAGACCACAUAAGAACACGAGAAGAGAUUCGCUAGAAGACAAAAGUGGUAGAUGGAGUUGAUGUAACUUAACGACAGAGGAAACUUUCGGUGUUGAUGUACUCAAAAUAUUAGAUUUUGCAUUUAAAUUUGCUUAUAAAAAGAAACUUCAUCCUUACCAUGAAAGGGGCGACGUCUGAAUGGACCACCAUCCAUACGCCUUAAGCAAUGAGUAGAGUCCUAGAGAGGUUGUGGCAAGAAAGAGCCUUUUCAUUGUCUGUAAAGCAUUUCUCCAUCUUCUCUAAUCAGUAUAUGGAGUGAAAAGCUUGUAGUCUAAGUAAAGAAGAUCUCAUUUCCCAUCUUUCCCUAA